GCAAGGGGGUCAUCCCGACUUACCAACCCGAUGCAAACUGCGAAUACCGGAGAAUGUUAUCACGGGAGACACACGGCGGGUGCUAACGUCCGUCGUGAAGAGGGAAACAACCCAGACCGCCAGCUAAGGUCCCAAAGUCAUGGUUAAGUGGGAAACGAUGUGGGAAGGCCCAGACAGCCAGGAUGUUGGCUUAGAAGCAGCCAUCAUUUAAAGAAAGCGUAAUAGCUCACUGGUCGAGUCGGCCUGCGCGGAAGAUGUAACGGGGCUAAACCAUG
rnacentral:rRNA from 1 species